CACAAUACAUGCAUAAACACACACACACUAUAUACAGCCCACAAUAAAUGCGUAAACACGCGCACACUAUAUACAGCCCACAAUACAUGCAUAAACACACACGCAAUAUAUACAGCCCACAAUACAUGCAUAAACAUACACACACUAUAUACAGCCCACAAUACAUGCAUAAACACACACACAAUAUAUACAGCCCACAAUACAUACAUAAACAAACACACACACUAUAUACAGCCCACAAUACAUGCAUAAGCACACACACACACACAAUUUAUACAGCCCACAAUACAUGCAUAAACACACACACACACAAUAUAUACAGC